rnacentral:lncRNA from 1 species
CAUCUCUCCAACUGGAUUUUAUGCAGUCACCCUGUUGAAGUGUACUGUGUGGGUCCAGAUGGGAGUGGAUGUUCAGCUCUCACUGGGCUCCACUGAUAUCAGCCCAGCCAGAGUGGAGUGCCAGCUGACCCCGCCUUGCUUUGCCUCACUCUGCCUUGUAGCUAAUGGGUGGGGGUGGAAGUCUUGCUUGGACUGUCGAUACCAGGAGUGGGGAGGGGGAAAAGGGACUGUGUUGUUGUGUAAUAAAGGAUUUGACUUUGUCCCUGGCUCCUGAGAAGGAGACUCUAAGUCUUUGGAAAUUC